AGGACGAACGCUGGCGGCGUGCUUAACACAUGCAAGUCGAACGGGGAUUUAGUAGACAGAAGCUUCGGCGGAAGAUUACUAAUGAGAGUGGCGAACGGGUGAGUAACGCGUGAGCAACCUGCCUAUGACAGUGGGAUAGCCUCGGGAAACCGGGAUUAAUACCGCAAUAAAAUCGUAAGAAACACAUGUUUUAACGGUCAAAGAUUUAUCGGUCAUAGAUGGGCUCGCGUCUGAUUAGCUAGUUGGUGAGAUAACAGCCCACCAAGGCGACGAUCAGUAGCCGGUCUGAGAGGAUGAACGGCCACAUUGGAACUGAGACACGGUACCAAACUCCUACGGGAGGCAGCAGUGGGGGAAUAGUUAGCACAAGUAGGGGGAAACCCUGAUGCAGCGACGACCGCGUGAGUAGAAGAAGGUAUUACGUAUACGUAAAGUUCUGUCCUAGUAGGAAGAAUAAUAGAC
rnacentral:rRNA from 1 species